AAUUCUCCCCAUUUUUGUUGAAUUCUUCAAGUUUCAUAAAAAUAUCUUGAAUUUCCUCUUUUUUGAUAUCUUACCAUUGUUUGGUUCAUAAAUUCAUUUGAGCUACUCUUUGUUUGUUCCAAAGAGGGCCAAGCCUCUAUUUUAUCCAUGUUAGUUGUCAAUUCUACAAUCGAUUAUUCUUUAUAUAUUAAACCUUGGAAAUGUCAAGUUUGAUUGACAUGUUUAAAAUGCUCUUCAUGAAAUGUAUGUGUAUGUGGACAUUGCACUCUUUUGUACAUUAUUAGUGGCAUGGUAGAUCACUGAGUAUGGACUUGGGUGGUUCACGUUAGGUGUUGGUGGAUUGGAGGUUACUAUGGUUUUUCAGCCAAAAGGGUGCUCCGUGAGAUCAGGACUCUUGUGUUGAAUAUAUGAGAUAGCCAGGUACUAGAGAACUGUGUGGCGGCUCUAGUGUGGCUUUAUGUGAUCGACUCGGUACUAGAGAACUGCGUGGCGGCUCUAGUGUGGCAUUAUGAGAUUGGCAUGGUAACAUUGUGAUAAUGAUUGAGGAGUCAUUGGAGGUGAGUUUGCUUUUGAGGUAGGUACUACAAAUCAGUAGGAAGAGGGGCGUGACCGUGGUGGCCUGACCGAGUGAUUAGCUUAUGUGUUGGACUUUGGAUGUCCUCUGUUAGUUUGGGAUUAUAUAUAUAUAUACAUUACGAGAUUGUUUUCGGAAUUUGUGUUGGAUGACCAGGAGGGUGCUCCGGAAUAUUGGGACUCCUGUGUCUGGUAGUUUGGUUGUGGUAGUGGACCCUGAGGGUCUUGACUGGAUUGAUUAUGAUUGUUUCUAGAUGUUAUUAAAUUAUUAUGAACUGGUUGAGUUUUCUGUAUA